rnacentral:rRNA from 1 species
CAGCCGCCGCGGUAAUACGAAGGGUGCAAGCGUUAAUCGGAAUUACUGGGCGUAAAGCGUGCGUAGGCGGUUUGUUAAGUCUGUUGUGAAAUCCCCGGGUUCAACCUGGGAAUGGCAAUGGAUACUGGCAAGCUAGAGUGUGUCAGAGGAUGGUGGAAUUCCCGGUGUAGCGGUGAAAUGCGUAGAGAUCGGGAGGAACAUCAGUGGCGAAGGCGGCCAUCUGGGACAACACUGACGCUGAGGCACGAAAGCGUGGGGAGCAAACAGGAUUAGAUACCCGCGUAGUCCCUGUCUCUUAUAC